rnacentral:rRNA from 1 species
UGGGGAAUUUUGGACAAUGGGCGCAAGCCUGAUCCAGCCAUACCGCGUGAGUGAAGAAGGCCUUCGGGUUGUAAAGCUCUUUCAGACGGAAAGAAACGGUCGCGGCCAAUACCCGCGACUAAUGACGGUACCGUAAGAAGAAGCACCGGCUAACUACGUGCCAGCAGCCGCGGUAAUACGUAGGGUGCGAGCGUUAAUCGGAAUUACUGGGCGUAAAGCGUGCGCAGGCGGUUUGGUAAGACAGAUGUGAAAUCCCCGGGCUUAACCUGGGAACUGCAUUUGUGACUGCCAGACUAGAGUGUAGCAGAGGGGGGUAGAAUUCCACGUGUAGCAGUGAAAUGCGUAGAUAUGUGGAGGAAUACCGAUGGCGAAGGCAGCCCCCUGGGCUAACACUGACGCUCAUGCACGAAAGCGUGGGGAGCAAACAGGAUUAGAUACCCAGGUAGUCCCUGAGCGGGCUGGCAAGGCGCAU